AUGAAGUUCCUGCCGUCCAUAGCCGUCCUCCUACUCCUCUCCUGCUCCCUCGCGGCGGCCACGGUGCCGAUCGGCACGAUCGAGCGCGUGUCCAAGCAGCAGAUCCUGGCGAGCAUCCCGCCUGGAGGGCACGCCGGUCCGCCCGUGCUGUUCCUCACGUCUCCGUCCGGCAAGUACGCCGCCUACUUCGUGCGCACCCACACCGCGCCGGGCGCCGGAGGGCUCGGCGCCGACUUUUGCUACGUCGAGGUGAUGGCCGGUAGCGGCAAAGCUUCCGAGGGCGGUGCUGCCGGGGGCGCGAGCGCGUGGGAGUCGGAGUGCCGGCCGGUGAGCACGGUGAACACGUGCACCCUGCUCUUCUCGUGGCACGGGCUGGAGGUGUUCGACGGUAGCGAGGAGGUGUGGCACGGCGAGACCAACACCGACGGGACCAACUUCCUGCAGACGCUCGAGCUCGUGGACGACGGCGACAUGCGCGUCCGCGACAAGGACGGCGAGCUCGCGUGGCGGGCCAGCGACGAGCCGCGCCACGGGCAACACUGCGGCGCGCCGGGGUCACCGGGCCUUGCGGCCGCGCUGCCGUCCUUCGCCGAGCCCAUCGGCGCGCACAGCAGCAACCUGCCCUUCGGCCAGGUGCAGGGCGGCAACGGCCACGCGGCCGAGCUGCCGCAGGCGGCGGAGCUCGGGGACGGAGUUGUUCCAGGGGCCGGAGCAGUCGGAGGUGUUGCCCCAGGGGCAGGUGGCUUGGGCGACGGCUACGGCAUUGCACCGGCGGCAGGAGGCGCCGGAGGAGUUGGACCGGGGGCAGGUGGCUUGGGCGAUGGCUACGGCAUUGCGCCGACGGUAGGAGGUGUUGCCGCGGGGGCAGGGCCCUUCGGCGACGGCUACGGGAUCGCACCGGGCGCCGAGACAGGAGCCUUCGGUGGUGUCGGGGAUGUUGCCGGACAUGGUGAAGCGGCGACGGCGGCCGGCGGUGUCGCGGGAGUGGCAGGGUUCGGCAGCCAGCCGCUGGUGGACAACAACCCCUACGACAGUGGAGCCUACAAGGGCGGCCGUGGGGCCCAUCUCGCAGCGAUCGGAGCUGCGGUGUUUGUCAGCGCCAUGGCCGUGGGUUUCUAA
rnacentral:rRNA from 1 species